rnacentral:rRNA from 1 species
GAUGAACGCUGGCGGCGUGCCCAAUACAUGCAAGUCGAGCGAACAGACGAGGAGCUUGCUCCUCUGACGUUAGCGGCGGACGGGUGAGUAACACGUGGAUAACCUACCUAUAAGACUGGGAUAACUUCGGGAAACCGGAGCUAAUACCGGAUAAUAUAUUGAACCGCAUGGUUCAAUAGUGAAAGACGGUUUUGCUGUCACUUAUAGAUGGAUCCGCGCCGCAUUAGCUAGUUGGUAAGGUAACGGCUUACCAGGGCAACGAUGCGUAGCCGACCUGAGAGGGUGAUCGGCCACACUGGAACUGAGACACGGUCCAGACUCCUACGGGAGGCAGCAGUAGGGAAUCUUCCGCAAAGGGCGAAAGCCUGACGGAGCAACGCCGCGUGAGUGAUGAAGGUCUUCGGAUCGUAAAACUCUGUUAUUAGGGAAGAACAAAUGUGUAAGUAACUAUGCACGUCUUGACGGUACCUAAUCAGAAAGCCACGGCUAACUACGUG